UACAGAGGGUGCGAGCGUUGUCCGGAAUCACUGGGCGUAAAGGGCGCGUAGGUGGCGGGCCAAGUCUGUGGUGAAAGCUCGAUGCUCAACAUCGAGUCGGCCACGGAUACUGGUUCGCUGGAGCACUGUAGAGGCAGAUGGAAUUCCGGGUGUAGCGGUGAAAUGCGCAGAUAUCAGGAGGAACACCAAUGGCGAAGGCAGCUCGCUGGAACGGUACUGACGCUAAGGCGCGAAAGCGUGGGGAGCGAACAGG
rnacentral:rRNA from 1 species